GGGAGCUUAGAUGUGGAAGCUCUUUGGAAACCAAGAAACACUCUGAAAAUGAAAAGGGUGGAAGAGUAAACUGUUCCUGUUUCUCCAUCUUGACAGGAAGCAGAAGUUCUCCUUAGCUGAUUUUUCUUCUUGCCUUAUACUGGGUUCUUUAACACCAGAACAAAAAUAAAUAAAUAAAAGAAUCUUCCAGAAAUUCAUGAAGAGACUUCAGGUCAGGAAAGCCUGAACUUUCUCAUCCAACACCCGUUCAAGUCGGAGGAUGCUGAUUAAUUCAUGAUGGAAAGGUAUCAAUUUCACAGCCCAGACCUCUACAUUCUUGAAAUGCUCUUCUCAUGGGAGACAUUAAAUAAGCUUUGAAUUAACUGAAGAACCAAUGAUGUGAUCCCUGGAUACUGGCAAUUGUUGCCCAAGAAAACCUCUCCCCUUGCUGUGGGACUGCUGGGCACCCAAAUAAUGCACCCAAAUAAUUUGAUAGCUCUUGUUACACAGCUCUUCUUGGACUAAAAGGCCCUCAGCAUUCCUGUCAAUUUCUACACUCCUGAAGCUUCAUCUGGAGACCUCUGUGGAUUCUAUAACUCAAAGACCCAGGCUGACGGCUGGUGGAAUAGCUACCAUCUCAAACAUGGCGUGAUGCUGCAUCAGAGAGAAAAAUAAGCUCUUGCAUUGACAAUGAAAUGUCUACCCUGUAGUGACUUGUGCUUACUUCCACUCACAAGUGAUUGCCCAGAGCUACUUACCUGGCUCCAAUCUACCACUGGGUCAGACGUUUGCUGAAUUCAGUUCUGAGCUUUUGAACCAAAAGCAGAUCUUCAGAACAAGAAACAAGAUAAUAAAAGAGAAACAUGAAGAAACUGAAGAUGAUUGGAGAAAUAUGAAUCAAGAUGAUUAGACCUAGCAGAGGGCUGGCUGGAUGGCAUUUAUGUUGACAAUGGACUCCUACACAGAGGAUGAUCAUGGUCUAGGACAUAAUAGUCAUUCAAUCA
rnacentral:lncRNA from 10 species